GCGCAAAGUGAGCACGCACAGACGGUCGUGUGUCAGAUGCAGAGCUCAAUAGAAAUUGAUUACAAUAGUUAAUAAUAAUAAUAAUAAUAAUAAUAAUCAACUAUGAAGAGCAGAUUCAACACGGUGGACAUCCGAGCCGUGAUCGCAGAGAUCAAUGUCAGUUGUGUCGGGAUGAGAGUCAACAACAUCUAUGACAUCGAUAAUAAAACAUACCUGAUCAAACUGCAGAAGCCGGGCACUAAAGCUGUGUUGUUGAUCGAGUCUGGCAUUCGCCUUCACAGCACUGAGUUUGACUGGCCUAAGAAUGUCAUGCCAUCUGGAUUUGCCAUGAAAUGUCGGAAGCAUCUGAAGUCCAGGCGGCUGGUGCACAUCAAACAGCUCGGUGUGGACAGGAUCGUGGACAUUCAGUUUGGAUCAGACGAGGCUGCGUAUCAUCUGAUCCUGGAGCUGUAUGAUCGAGGGAACAUUGUUCUGACAGACCACGAGUUCACCAUCUUAAAUCUCCUUCGGUUCCGCACGGCAGAGGCUGAAGAUGUGAAGAUCGCAGUGAGGGAGAGAUAUCCAGUAGAGAAGGCCAGACCGCCGGAGCCGCUCAUCAGUCUGGAGAGACUCGCUGAGAUCUUAUCUAAAUCUCAGUCUGGAGAACAAGUGAAAAGAAUUCUGAAUCCUCACUUGCCGUACGGCGGGACGCUCAUUGAACACAGUCUCAUGGCUGUUGGGCUGCCGGGCCUCAUGAAAGUCGACGGCCAGUUUGAUGUCACUCGGGAAAGCCCCCAAAUCCUGGAAGCUUUGCAGAUGGCUGAAGAUUUUAUGGAAAAAACGGCAAACUUCAGUGGAAAGGGUUACAUCGUACAGAAAAGUGAGAAGAAGCGAAGUUUGUGUCCAGAAAAACCAGAGGAGGAGUUCCUCACAUAUGAAGAAUUUCAUCCAUUUCUCUUUUGUCAGCAUGAGAAAAGUCCCUACGUUGAGUUGGACUCUUUUAACAAGGCGGUGGAUGAGUUCUUCUCUAAGAUGGAGGGUCAGAAGCUGGACAUGAAAGCUCUUCAGCAGGAGAAACAAGCACUGAAGAAGCUGGAGAACGUCCGCCGAGAUCACGAGCAACGUCUGGAAGCUCUUCAUCAGGCUCAGGAGGUGGAGCGGUUGAAGGGCGAGCUGGUGGAGAUGAAUCUUCAGACGGUGGAUCGAGCUCUACAGGUGGUACGCAGCGCUCUGGCCAAUCAGGUGGACUGGGCAGAAAUCGCUCUGAUUGUUAAAGAAGCUCAGGUGGCCGGUGACCCUGUGGCCUGUGCCAUUAAACAACUCAAACUCCACAGCAAUCACAUCACCAUGCUGCUCAAGAAUCCGUAUGCCGGUUCUGACGGAGAGGCAGACGAUUUGGACGCGCCAUCACCUGCGACGGGAUCUGAGCCGCUGAAGGGAAAAAAGAAUAAAAACAAAGAGAAAGGGAAGGUGGAGAAAAGCAAAGCGGCUCUAGUGGAUGUCGAUCUGAAUCUGUCCGCUUAUGCCAAUGCAAAGAAAUAUUACGACAGCAAGAGAAGCGCGGCCAAGAAAGAGCAGAAGACUGUUGAGGCGGCUCACAAGGCCUUCAAAUCAGCUGAGAAGAAGACCAAGCAAACUCUUAAAGAAGUGCAGACCGUCACCAGCAUUCAGAAAGCCAGAAAGGUUUAUUGGUUUGAGAAGUUUUUGUGGUUCAUCAGCACCGAGAAUUUUCUGAUCAUCGCUGGACGAGACCAGCAGCAGAAUGAGCUGAUAGUCAAACGUUAUCUGAGAUCAGGGGACGUUUACGUUCACGCGGAUCUGCAUGGAGCCACGAGCUGUGUGAUCAAGAACCCGUCUGGUGAGCCGGUUCCUCCUCGGACGUUAACUGAGGCGGGUACAAUGGCUGUUUGCUACAGCGCAGCCUGGGACGCUAAAGUCAUCACCAGCGCGUGGUGGGUCCAUCACCAUCAGGUGUCUAAGACAGCGCCGACGGGAGAAUAUCUGACCACUGGCAGCUUCAUGAUCAGAGGGAAGAAGAACUUUCUGCCCCCAUCAUAUAUGAUCAUGGGUUUCGGCUUUCUGUUCAAGGUGGACGAUGAGAGCGUUAUUAGACAUCUUGGAGAGAGGAAGACGAGAGCUCUGGAGGAGGACGAGCCCGACGUGACGUCCACUGCAGAUCUGCUGGAGGAGGGAGAUGAACUAUCAAGUGACGAGUGCUGUGAGGAGGAAGAGGAGGAGUCCGUCGGCAGGACGGCGACAGAGGAUGAAGAUCAUAAGAGAGACGACAGUAAAACAGCAGAUGAAGAAACUCGCAGCGGAACGGAGGACGGAACCUAUGAGGAUCAGAGCGAGGAGAUUCAGUUUCCUGACACCAACAUCUCACUGUCACACCUGCAGUCCAAUAGGAAUCUUCAAAGUGCUGCUUUCAAGCAGGAUGUUCCACAUCAGGAGGACACAGAAACACGCUGCAAAAAACACUUGACGGCCAAACAGAGGAGAGAUAUGAAGAAGAAGCAGAAACAAGAGAGCACAGAGGAUUUGGAAGAAACCAACGUAAAACAGCAGGAAAGUGAACCUGCGGCUGCCGGCACACAGACGUGUAAGAGCGGAGCAGCAGCAGCGGUUCAGCCGCUAAAGAGAGGCCAAAAGAACAAACUGAAGAAGAUGAAAGACAAAUAUAAAGACCAAGACGAAGAGGAUCGAGAGAUGAUGAUGAAGUUAUUGGGGUCUGCAGGAACCGCCAAAGAGGAGAAAGCCAAGAAGAACAAGAAAGGGAAAGUGAGGGAAGAGCCGCAGAGAAAAUGUCCUCCGGAAGCUUCAGUGAAACCGAAAGUUGAAAUUAUUACGAGAAGUGAAGCAGCAGAAGAUCCGGCUGAAGUCCACGAUGACAAAAUCUUGGAGACGGAUGAUGUGGAGAAUCCGGCAGCUGAGGAUCAGGAUGGAGAGAAUAUUCUGGACUGGCUGACCGGCCUCCCGCACCCAGAGGAUGUGUUGAUGUUCGCAGUGCCUGUCUGUGCUCCCUACAUGGCUCUUUCCAAUUACAAGUACAAAGUGAAAUUAACCCCGGGAAGUCAGAAAAAAGGGAAAGCCGCCCGCACCGCCGUGUCCAGCUUCAUGAAAAGCAAAGACACCAGCACACGAGAGAAAGAUUUGUUUCGGAGCGUGAAGGACACAGAUCUGUCCAGAAAUAUUCCUGGAAAAGUGAAAGUUUCAGCUCCUAACCUUCAGGCCGCAAAGAAAGGGACAUCCCAUAAAUGAUUUUACUUGACUUGUGAAAGACUGAAUAUUUACAAUAAACAUUAUGUUUUAUAACAGAACAUAAGAUGCUUCAUGUUUCUAUUGAACAAGAAUACUUUCAUCACAUUAUGUGAUUCACAAACCUUCUAUUAAAGGGGUCAUAUGGCGUGAACACGUGUUUUUCUGUGUCUUUGGUGUGUUAUAAGUCACUCAUGCAUGUAUUAGAUGUGUAAAAUUGCAGAAAUGAAAGUGUGGGAACAAAAGAGUCAUUCUAUGUAAAAGCGAAUGCUCACCCAGACCUGCCUGAAACACCUCGUGUAGCCACACCCCCACAAAUCCGUCAGUUGGUGGUCUGAUUUCACUAAGACCGCCCAAAUGUAGACGCAAGUAAGGUGGGCGUACCUGUCAGUACAAUUGAAGAGGAACCUGAUGUACAUAGACAACUUGAUUAAUAUAAUCUAGAAAUUGUUGAAAUAGCUAAACCCCUUGACAUUGUAAAACUGCACAUGUAUUUAUACCAAAAAUAAAUCCAGGUCUGUUUUUUGUGAUUAAUCAUUGCUGUAAAGAACUGUUGUUUUUGUAAAUCUUGUAGUAGUUUUAUUAGAGCUAUGAUUCCUCUUAAGUGGACGUUUGCGCUUUUAAUGCUUCUGCCAUUACGGAGUUGCAUCAAAUCUCUGCCCCUUUAUUGUGCACACCACUGUCUAAAACCUAAAAAGUGACAUUUUUAUAAGAAAAAAUCACUGCUUUCUAUUACUUGUAAAGGCUAAUUAUAAAAAGAUGUAAUAUGAGGGAAUGAUGCGGUAUGAAAUGUACUGUAAUUGAACACUGAAUUAAUUCAUUUCGGUUUAAACAAAUUUGAUGCAUUUAUGAACUGUAAUUUGUGAAUAUAAAGUGUUUACAAAAAGUGUAAACUUGCUCUCUUUAUCUUCAUCCCCAGCACUGCACUUUUGCUGUCGCUAAACGCACAAGUCUUGAAGUAUGAGCUGAUCAAUUGAAUCAGCAUCUCAGGCUAUAUUCAUGGCGAGGACCAGUCAAUGAGGGUAAAUUAAUCUCCAAUCCAUACACAAGUCUGUUUUGUGCACAAGUCGAUCCAUCAAUGCAAAUUGUAAAAAGCGCUAUAAAAAUGACUCUAGUUUACUUGACACAUAGACUUUUUCUGUCCAUUAUUGCAAAUUCUCUUUUGACUUGUUGAUAACACACCUAAAGUAUCUUUAGCUCAUAUUUUGUAAGACUUGCAGUAAUACCAUGAGAGUUGUACUUUACAUCAUAACAAGGUAUAUAACAUCUAUACUGUAUAUGUGUGCACAUAUAAAUGUAUAUAAUACG